UGGAGGAUUAGCUCAGCUGGGAGAGCAUCUGCCUUACAAGCAGGAGGUCACAGGUUCGAUCCCUGUAUCCUCCAUCC
rnacentral:tRNA from 1 species